CUUCAGUGAUGAUCUGAUGACGAGUCAGAAAUGGACACCCUCUGCUCAGAAUAAACAGCUCAGUGCCACGUUCUGUGAUGCUGUGCUUGGGUGCUCUGGGGAAGGUGUCCUGUGCAUUGGAUGAUCUUGAGGCAUUUGUCUGAGAAGG